rnacentral:rRNA from 1 species
UACGUAGGGUGCGAGCGUUAAUCGGAAUUACUGGGCGUAAAGCGUGCGCAGGCGGUUUUGUAAGCCAGAUGUGAAAUCCCCGGGCUUAACCUGGGAAUGGCAUUCGGGACUGCAAGGCUCGAGUGCGGCAGAGGAGACUGGAAUUCCUGGUGUAGCAGUGAAAUGCGUAGAGAUGUGGAGGAACACCGAUGGCGAAGGCAGCCCCCUGGGCUGACACUGACGCUCAGGCACGAAAGCGUGGGGAGCAAACAGG